UACGAAGGGUGCAAGCGUUACUCGGAAUUACUGGGCGUAAAGCGUGCGUAGGUGGUUUGUUAAGUCUGAUGUGAAAGCCCUGGGCUCAACCUGGGAAUUGCAUUGGUUACUGGCAGGCUAGAGUGCGGUAGAGGAUGGCGGAAUUCCCGGUGUAGCAGUGAAAUGCGUAGAGAUCGGGAGGAACAUCUGUGGCGAAGGCGGCCAUCUGGACCAGCACUGACACUGAGGCACGAAAGCGUGGGGAGCAAACAGG
rnacentral:rRNA from 1 species